AUUAAAAAAAAAAAAAAGUAAAAGCGUCUUAAGCAUAGACUGUAUAAAAACAGGUCUUAAGGCACCACUUUCUCAUCAUCUCUCCGACCACGACAAACACGGAAGUCUACAGUAAUAACCCGAGAUGAUAAAGACUUGACUCUCUUUCUUCCGGGGUCGUGCAGAAAGUUAUAACUAUAGUGACUGACAGUUUCCUUUCACAAAAAGGUGACCGGAGGUGAACAUAACUCAUGCAGGAUUAUUACGGUUACAGUGAGCCGGAUCCAGAACAGAUGGUGGACCUGCACCUGGCAUCUGAAUUUUGCAAUGAGGGGAAGACUAUUUCCACAGCAGCUUCACCUGAACAACACCCAAAAUCCAUCAUCUCCCUGUUAUCACUUUAAAUCUGCUUUAGAAUAAUCUGUAUUAUAUGAAGGGCUAUAUAAACUUGACUUGUUAGAUUUGUUGUAUUGAAGAAUUCAGCGUUGUAGCACAUAUUAUCUUAACCCAUUCACUCAGACCCGUUUAAUAUGUGAAGGUCUGAAUGCA